rnacentral:rRNA from 1 species
GACGAACGCUGGCGGCGUGCCUAAUACAUGCAAGUAGAACGCAGUUGCGAACGGUUGAGUAACGCGUAGGUAACUGCCUCAUCGCGGGGGAUAACUAUUGGAAACGAUAGCUAAUACCUCAUACUGUGAGAUGGACCUGCUUUGUAUUGGCUAGUUGGUGAGGUAAAGGCUCACCAAGGCGACGAUACAUAGCCGACCUGAGAGGGUGAUCGGACAAACUGGGACCGAGAGCCCGGCCCGACCACUGCCGGAGGCGGCAGGAGGGGAUCUUCGGCAAAGGACGGAAAUCUGACCGGGCAAAGGCGCGUGAGUGAAGGAGGGUUUUGGAUCGUAAAGCUCUGUUGUUUGAGAAGCGGUAACUAACCAGAAAGGGACGGCUAACUACGUGCCAGCAGCCGCGGUAAUAC